UGUUCAUUAGCUCUUCGUCCUGCAGAGGGACUUGGCUGUAUUCUUGUAGUUGCAGAGAAUGGGAUUCUGAAGCUAUGCUUCACAUGAAAUUUCUUGGUUGAUUUUGCACUCGGAAGUGGGAACUCACUGCAGAAAGCUGUACCUGUUCUGCACUUGCAAACAGAGCAGAUUCUCAACGACUUGGUUCUCAGCAAGGAGAGAGAUUACAGGAAGGGCACGCAGAUGAGGUUGGAC
rnacentral:lncRNA from 1 species